rnacentral:misc_RNA from 1 species
GAUGAAGAACGCAGCGAAAUGCGAUACGUAAUGUGAAUUGCAGAAUUCAGUGAAUCAUCGAAUCUUUGAACGCACAUUGCGCCUGCCAGCACUCUGGCAGGCAUGCCUGUUCGAGCGUCAUUUCAACCAUCAAGCCCUAGGCUUGCGUUGGAGCCCUGCGGCUGCCGCAGGCCCCUAAAAGCAGUGGCGGGCUCGCUAUCACACCGAGUGCAGUAGAUUACUCUUCGCUCAGGGCGUGUGGCGGGUUCCAGCCGUGAAACCCCCUACUUCUCAAGGUUGACCUCGGAUCAGGUAGGAAUACCCGCUGAACUUAAGCAUACAAUAAGCGGAGGA